UGGGGAAUAUUGCGCAAUGGGGGAAACCCUGACGCAGCAACGCCGCGUGAAGGAUGAAGGUUUUCGGAUUGUAAACUUCUUUGACACAGGACGAUAAUGACGGUACUGUGAAAACAAGCCACGGCUAACUACGUGCCAGCAGCCGCGGUAAUACGUAGGUGGCGAGCGUUGUCCGGAAUUACUGGGCGUAAAGGGCGAGUAGGCGGAUUUGCAAGUCAGAUGUGAAAAACCACGGCUCAACCGUGGCCCUGCAUUUGAAACUGCGGAUCUUGAGUGAUGGAGAGGCAGGCGGAAUUCCGAGUGUAGCGGUGAAAUGCGUAGAUAUUAGGAGGAACACCAGUGGCGAAGGCGGCCUGCUGGACAUUAACUGACGCUGAGGCGCGAAAGCGUGGGGAGCAAACA
rnacentral:rRNA from 1 species